rnacentral:rRNA from 1 species
GACGAACGCUGGCGGCGUGCUUAACACAUGCAAGUCGAACGGAAAGGCCCUUCUUUUGUGGGGUGCUCGAGUGGCGAACGGGUGAGUAACACGUGAGUAACCUGCCCUUGACUUUGGGAUAACUUCAGGAAACUGGGGCUAAUACCGGAUAGGAGCUCCUGCUGCAUGGUGGGGUUUGGAAAGUUUCGGCGGUUGGGGAUGGACUCGCGGCUUAUCAGCUUGUUGGUGGGGUAGUGGCUUACCAAGGCGUUGACGGGUAGCCGGCCUGAGAGGGUGACCGGCCACAUUGGGACUGAGAUACGGCCCAGACUCCUACGGGAGGCAGCAGUGGGGAAUAUUGCACAAUGGGCGGAAGCCUGAUGCAGCAACGCCGCGUGCGGGAUGACGGCCUUCGGGUUGUAAACCGCUUUCGCCUGUGACGAAGCGUGAGUGACGGUAAUGGGUAAAGAAGCACCGGCUAACUACGUG